GGUUUCUGAAGUAAUGUGCAAGACUCCUUACAUCAGCUUCUCUGAGUCUUGUGAUUCAGACUUGCCUCCCUCUCUCCCUUUCUCCCCUCUCCCCGUCCCACCCUUAGGCUCUGGGAGAAGGGAGACUGGGGAGGUCAGGGGCCUCUCAGAGGGGCCUCACCUGUUAACCCAGCCCCCCAUUUCAGGUCUGAAGGGGCGUCUCGAUUACCUGAGCUCUCUGAAGGUGAAGGGCCUUGUGCUGGGCCCAAUUCACAAGAACCAGAAGGAUGAUGUCGCUCAGACCGACUUGCUGCAGAUCGACCCCAAUUUUGGCUCCAAGGAAGAUUUUGACAGUCUCUUGCAAUCGGCUAAAAAAAAGAGCAUCCGUGUCAUUCUGGACCUUACUCCCAACUACCGGGGUGAGAACUCGUGGUUCUCCACUCAGGUUGACACUGUGGCCACCAAGGUGAAGGCCUCAGGAAACUGGGAGAGGGGGGAUCUUGACUGACAUUUUAGAUCCUGUCUGCUGCUCACUGAUUAUGACUGUGGACACGUCUCCCUGCUUCUCUGGGUCUGUUUCUUCAUCUCUAAAAUAGGAUGCUCUGGAGUUUUGGCUGCAAGCUGGCGUGGAUGGGUUCCAGGUUCGGGACAUAGAGAAUCUGAAGGAUGCAUCCUCAUUCUUGGCUGAGUGGCAAAACAUCACCAAGGGCUUCAGUGAAGACAGGCUCUUGAUUGCAGGGACUAACUCCUCCGACCUUCAGCAGAUCCUGAGCCUACUCGAAUCCAACAAAGACUUGCUGUUGACUAGCUCAUACCUGUCUGAUUCUGGUUCUACUGGGGAGCAUACAAAAUCCCUAGUCACACAGUACUUGAAUGCCACUGGCAAUCGCUGGUGCAGCUGGAGUUUGUCUCAGGCAAGGCUCCUGACUUCCUUCUUGCCGGCUCAACUUCUCCGACUCUACCAGCUGAUGCUCUUCACCCUGCCAGGGACCCCUGUUUUCAGCUAUGGGGAUGAGAUUGGCCUGGAUGCGGCUGCCCUUCCUGGACAGACAGCAUUUCCCUAUGUCGCCCAGGCUGGAAGUGCAGUGGCAUGAUCUUGGUUCAUUGCAGCCUCCGCCUCCCAGGCCGAAGUGAUCAUCCCACCUCAGCCUCCUGAGGAGCUGGGAUACGUACCAUAGAUAGCCUGUGGAGGCUCCAGUCAUGCUGUGGGAUGAGUCCAGCUUCCCUGACAUCCCAGGGGCUGUAAGUGCCAACAUGACUGUGAAGGGCCAGAGUGAAGACCCUGGCUCCCUCCUUUCCUUGUUCCGGCGGCUGAGUGACCAGCGGAGUAAGGAGCGCUCCCUACUGCAUGGGGACUUCCAUGCGUUCUCUGCUGGGCCUGGACUCUUCUC
rnacentral:sRNA from 1 species